rnacentral:piRNA from 1 species
UGCGGUGACUAAAUCGAGGCCGAGAA